rnacentral:misc_RNA from 1 species
GAUGAAGAACGCAGCUAAAUGCGAUAAGUAAUGUGAAUUGCAGAAUUCAGUGAAUCAUCGAAUCUUUGAACGCACAUUGCGCCCCCUGGUAUUCCGGGGGGCAUGCCUGUCCGAGCGUCAUUGCUGCCCUCAAGCACGGCUUGUGUGUUGGGCCUCCGUCCUCCUCCCGGGGGACGGGCCCGAAAGGCAGCGGCGGCACCGCGUCCGGUCCUCGAGCGUAUGGGGCUUCGUCACCCGCUCUUGUAGGCCCGGCCGGCGCUUGCCGACACAUCAAUCUUUUUUCCAGGUUGACCUCGGAUCAGGUAGGGAUACCCGCUGAACUUAAGCAUAUCAAUAAGCGGAGGA